rnacentral:lncRNA from 1 species
AUCCCGGUCCGACUCUGACCUUUGCUCCCAGUCUCAACAAAACAUCCCUGACAUUGAGUACGAGCAGUUCAUUGCAGGCCUCUGAAUCCUCAGUCCAGGGAAGCUAAACCAUUCUAGCCUUCAUCGGUUCUGGGAAAGCAAUCUUCAGAGUGGGAAAAGACAUUGAAAAAUAAUAUUCUGUGAGUUGCAUUCUACCCUUGCCCAGAGAUGAGAAACAUCUGAAGGUGGAGGAAAACAGUUGGAGGGUUCACUUGGUGAUAAUAAUCAUAACCAAAGCAACAGCAAACCCUUACAGAACUCUGUCCUGCUGUUCCAGGAACGCUGUGUUCAUGACAACCCAAUGAGUUGGCACCACUAUGAGUUCCACUUUAAAGUGCCUGCCACCCUGGCCUCCCUGCUCAUCUGCCUCAGUCAGGAGCACCUGGACCACCAGCUCUGUAUUGCCUCGCCUCCUACCAUCAAGACGUCAAAGUUCAUUCUCCUUCCACCACCCAGUAUGGUCAUUGUAGGGUUCUUCUGUCAGCCUGAGCCAGCCCCACCCAUUCACCCUACCCCCGGGCUAUACCGGGCGUGUCUCCCCCAAGUCCAGCCUCUCUCCUUUAAGUGCCCACCACUUAGCCGUCCAGUCUUCUCCACCAGCCUCCCUGGCCCUCCUUCACCCUCACUGGGGAUCAUGCGACUGCUCUGCUUCCUGCCUGUCCACGUUCCUCUUACUUCCACUUCCCCACCUUCCAGCUCUGCAUCCACAGUCAGCACUCUCUUUAUGACAGACAAAACCCCCUUGAGCCUUGACCUUUUCAGUUCCUCACCAGGCCGACUUCCAUCUCGGUUCACCCAGCUCUACUUGUUCUGAGCCUGCAGGCAGCAGGCUCUCCCAGCACAGUCCAAGACUACAAAUCAAUGCCCACCAUGUUGCCGCUGCCAGGCAAUCCUCCAGGAUUCUCUAGUGAGCACAUUUCCCCACUUAUCACUCAGUGGGUGUAACAUUCUCUGCUCUCUGCACACCUCUAACCUUCCCUCUGUCUCUUCCCUGUCCCAGCAGAUGGCCUUGCCUCCUGCUCAGAGAGAAUGACAUGUCACUGGAAAGGAACUCGCUCACCUGCAGCAAACCCUGCACCUCACUUUUAUCUGUCCUCUCCC